rnacentral:rRNA from 1 species
GAUGAACGCUAGCUACAGGCUUAACACAUGCAAGUCGAGGGGAAACGAUAUUGGAAGCUUGCUUCCGAUAGGCGUCGACCGGCGCACGGGUGAGUAACGCGUAUCCAACCUGCCCAUCACUUGGGGAUAACCUUGCGAAAGUAAGACUAAUACCCAAUGACGUCUCUAGAAGACAUCUGAAGGAGAUUAAAGAUUUAUCGGUGAUGGAUGGGGAUGCGUCUGAUUAGCUUGUUGGCGGGGUAACGGCCCACCAAGGCGAACGAUCAGUAGGGGUUCUGAGAGGAAGGUCCCCCACAUUGGAACUGAGACACGGUCCAAACUCCUACGGGAGGCAGCAGUGAGGAAUAUUGGUCAAUGGGCGAGAGCCUGAACCAGCCAAGUCGCGUGGAGGAAGACU